UUCCCUUUCUUCCAAGAAGCACCUUUAAUCAGAGAAACAGUUCACGUUCCACAGCCCACUCACCUGAUACCACCAGCAUAGCCAAAUGCAGAUCACUGCCUUAAAGUCUGACCUGAGCCAAGUCAUCCUACUUCUCUUGCUUCAACUUGAUCUCUUAUAAAAAUUAAUCAGACGUGGAAAUGGCAAGUGAUCAAAAUAACCGAUAAUAGAGACUUCCUUAGCUGAAUUACAGUGCAAACAUGCAGGCAACACUCUGCGGGUUUUGUUGCAGGAUGUUGACAGCGCGUAAGUUGUUGGUGAUGUACGGAGAGAGUGAGUGACAGAGGCCAUGGGAGCAGGCCUGGGGCAUCCCAGUCUCACUGUCACCCCUCCAACCACAGGGCCUUCGGCUUUGCAGUUUUUUCUUCCUGAAAUGCUCUCCUUCUCACUCCUUACCUGGUUAACUUCUUUUUAUUUUUAUAUCUCAAAGCAAAGUCCAAAUCCCUGUCCGCAUUUGUUAAAGUUUAUCAUUAUGUAUUUUAUCAGUAGUGUUUUUGAAUACUGGCUGUGCCCAGAGCAUAAAUCCUACAAGAACAAAGAAUUCUCUGCUUUCGCUCACCAUGGCAUUUCCAGAACCUGGAGAAUAAAAGAAAACUUAAUAAUUAACAUUUACUGAACGAGCCAACGUUAACCUGUAUACAUAGAAAGGUAUUAUCUUGAAAUUCUUGUUACAGUUUUCCUGUGUUUCUCAAUCCAUGAAUGAAAGUCAGAUGCAUUUCAGACUGAUUAAAUUCAAUGUGACAAUAUUUUCCAGUCUGAUAGAGCAGAUAAUUCAUUGUAAUUAGAGAAUCUGGAAGUCCUGAAAUUAAUCUUUUCAGGAUGGAGCACAGAUGUGGGAACAGCACCUACAGGGAAUACUUACUGAUGCAGGCCCUGUAUUUCUUUAGACGGUAGAAUCGCAGCAUUUUAAUGUUGAGCUGCUUCACACUGAGGCCCAGAGACAUGGCGAGACCCAGCCAAGGCUGCAGAGCGAGGCCGGCCCUGGGACCUCUUAGCCCAGUGCUCAUCCCACCGUGACACAAAGGAGCAGCGUAACUCCCACUUCCAGCUGUGGAAUCAGUAGAAAUUCAGGGAAGGGAUAAAACAGGGAGAAGAGUGAAAAGAAAUUCUAGAUUUAGGAAUGUCUGAAUAUAUCCAGUAGACUGGUGGGCAGAGAAGCCCAGAAUAAUGCCAGGCAGGUCUUUAGCUUAACUUCUUUUCCACCUAAAGGAUGACUAGCUUGUUUGAAAGUAGAGAAGGGGGGGGGUACACGCACACUGAUGCGGAAUGAUCUAGGUGGCACCUCUGCAUGCCCAGUGCCUGGCACAGUGCACUUGCUCAGAGUAUGCUUAUCAAGUGAAUGAAUGGAGGGGUAGGUGGGCCAUCCUCAGACUCCCCCGAUCCACCCACUGGUUUGCCAGGAUCUGAAAUCGCUCACACGGUGCCAAGCUGAAUGAUGCUCCCUCCCAAACAGAUACCGGCCAUCCGCAUCCCAAUCCCUGGGACCUGCCAAUGCUAAACAGAGAACCUUGCAGAUGAAAUUAAGGAUCUAGAGAUGGGGAGUUACCCUGGGUUACCCAGGCGGGUUUAAAUGCAACCACGUGUGUCCUUAUGCGAGGAGCCCGAGGGGCAUCUGACAGACACAUGAGAGGUCCGAGUGACCGUGGCCACAACCGCGGAGUGCGGCAGCCACCGUUUAAGAAACAGAAAGGACCAUUACCUUCAAGUCCCCUGUGUGUCUCUCUGAGAGCAUUUCCCCUGGGGUUAACUUCCGUCUUGAAUUUCAGACUUAUUAUUAUUCUCUUAGAUUUUUGAGGUAUAUGUCUCCGCAUGUUUUUCAUUUGCAUGGUUUUAAAUUACAUAAAUCCUGCUCUAAGUUUUGCUCUGCAACUUUUCAGAAUUUGCUUAACAUGGAGAUGUCUCCUGUAGCUGUGUUUCAGUCAUAGGGCAGCAUAAUGUGAUACUGUAAAGCAAGCCCAGAGCUUAUUAACUCUGCAGGCCGGGGACAUGUAGGCUGGUUCCAGCUGCCAGCUAUCCGGAGCUGUGUGUGUGCAGGGGACAUUCUGGUUCAUGCUGCUUAGGGCGAGGAUGUGAGUGGUUCAUGGUGCUCAGUGCCAGGAUGUUUCCCUGGAGCACGUGUCGUGUCUCCGAGACGCCUGGGAGGUUGUUCUUCCAGGUCCUUAUACAGAAAGUCACACUGUUUCAAGUUGCCAGUUUGUUCCCUUUCUAACCUCUGAGCACAUACUGCUUCUGUAAUUUAUUUGCGAUAUAAUCACAUCUGCCUUUGAUCUCUCUCAUCUCAUGAUUAACUCUUGGGCUUUUGCUCAUCUUUACCUAUACUAGUGUUUUAGAACUAAAUAAACAUUCAGUCUGGGUAGAAGCCACAUUUUUUUUUUUUCUUUUUAGGGCCACACCAGCAGCACAUGGAAGUUCCCAGGCUAGAGGUUGAAUCAGAGCUGCAGCUGCCAGCCUACACCACAGCCCCAGCCCUAGCAAUGCGGGAUCCAGGCUGUGUCUGCGAUGCCAGAUCCCUGACCCUCUUAUCGAGGCCAGGGGUCACACUUGUAUCCUCAUGGAUACUAGUCAGGCUCAUGACCGCUGAGCCACAAUGGGAACUUCCUACGUGUUCUUGAUAGAGGUAUGAGAGCACAGAGGUUAAAUGACUGAACUCUAGAGCUGAAAUGUCUGGGUUCAAAACCCAGCUCUGCUCCUUACCAGCUGUGUGAUCUUGAGCUGGUUACUUAAUCUCUCUGUGCCUCAGUUGCCUCCCAUGUAAACUGGAGAAAACAAUUAAUUACUUAAUUAAAGGGUUCUGUUAGGAUUAAGUAACUUAACGUGUGAAACACCUGGGACUGCACCACGCACAGUAAGCGUCGUGUGAGUGGUUGUCGUCGUCGCCAUCGUCAUUGACACUGCGGUUUCCAUAAGAGCAAAGCUAUGUAAACAGGCAAAGAGCUUGUGUCACACUUAAUAGAAAUGAUGAGAUGCAAACACCCACAGCUUCGUGUCAGCAAAUCUCAAGACCUUCCUCGGUGCCUGCACUGCCCCCCCCCCCCCCCCGUUUGACAGCAGACCCGCCUGUCAGAUCCCUCCACUCAGCUCUGGGUCCAUCACGUGUCACCAGGACCAGCAGAGUUGCCACCCAUCAUCCUCCUGUCUGCCUGGGCAGUCUCACCUCACACGGACGUUUCCCAGAACUUUCCAUCGUAAAGUAGAUCCCCUGGGCCCAUGUGUCCGCUCAGGCUGCCUCCCUGGUCUUUAGAGUAGCUCAUAAAAAGAAUUAACUGUAGAUGCCCCCCCCCCCAGUGUUUGUAACGGCUCCCCAAGUCUCACCUCCCAUCCCGGCCACUCACUGGGAACAGUCUUGCCAAGGUCACUGCCAUGCUGCUGAGUCCACGGUCACAUCGCCAUCCUCUUGGUAACAUGUGACACACGUGAUCAGUGGCUCCUCAGAACCCUCUGCCUGGCUUCCCCGGCACAGCAGCCCGGGUCCCCUCGCCUCACUGAGUCCUGCUCAGGCUGACUCGCUUGUCUUCUCCCCCUGCACCGUCUUGUCCAGUCUUGGGGCUUUUGAAACCUUUGAAAUGCGGAGGAGUUCAAGACGGUAACUCCAGCCCUGACCUCUGUCCUGAGCUCCAGACUUUCCUGGCGACUGUCUGGUGUCUCUUAAUGUGUAAUGAGGACAGAGAUGAGGCAUUCCCGUCAUGGCUCAGCAGUUUAGAACCUGACUAGCCUUCAUAAGGAUGCAGGUUCGAUCCCUGGCCUCGCUCAAUGAGUUAAGGAUCCGGCGUUGCCGUGAGCUAUGGAGUAGGUCGCAGAUGAGCCUCGGAUCCGACGUUGCUGUGGCUGUGGUCAACAGCUCUGGUUCGACCCCUAGCCUGGGAACUUACAUAUACCGCGGGUGUGGCCCUAAAAAAGACAAGAAAAAAAAAAAACAGUGAUGAGAGCUAAGCGGUCACACAGGCUCUCUUUUCCUUUUCUGGCAGGCCACAUCUGUCCCCACCAUAGAGCCUUCAUGUUCACUGUCCCCCGACUAGCACACCCCGCACACCUGAAUCUGUGUUCCCAAUCCUUUCUGUUCAGAGGGGGCUCCACUGAGUCACCUGCUCAGAGGCCUUUCUGUCCACCCCAUCCCAGGCGGUCCCCAACCCCCGCCCGGUUCUGCCUUCCUGUUCCUAGUGCCUUUGGAGCAUCUAUCAUUAUACGAAGUCCUCUUGUUCAUGUAUUUGCUGCUGGUUUCCAUCCUUUGCCUGUACCUAUCCUGGCUCCCUCCAGGAAUGUGUCUUUAAAGUGAAAACGUGCUAACAGACCUAAUGCCGGAAACAAAGGUUUCACUUUUACAGAUGGGAAUAAAGCAUGUCCUGCAGUUCAUGUGUUUAUAGAAAGCUUGGGAACAUAAAACAAUAGCAGUCACUGUGUGCCAGGCAUUCAAAGAUGCCAGGGUAGAGUGGGCAGACAAGGGGCAUCCUUGAAGGUCUGACACAUAAUGGGGGUUUAAUCAACAGAUGCUGAGUGAAUCUACUGAUUAAUUCAUCUAAGUCCAGAAAGAGGUUAUUUCUGAUUAUGAAUGGAAGACAAUAGACACAUUCUUACUUAUUAAUUUUUGAGAAACACACAAGCAGUUGUGACGCAUCUGGGUGUGGGAGCACUAAAUCGGAAAUUCAGCGAGCACUGAUGCCCACAUGCCUGUGCACAGCCCCACCUGCAGCCCAACACGUCCUCGCUCUGUGUCCCCAUCUAGACUGCAGAGGCCAUAUUUGUGUCUAGAUUUCUGAUUUAGCUGCAAGAUACAAAGAUCCAACACAGUCAACUUGCUUUGGCUCUUUAUUAGCUGAAGUGGCUUAAAAGCAGAAAUGGCAUUCUAGUGAUUCCACCUGUUACCUCCUUGACGUUGACACCCCCAGUAAAAAUAACAGCCAUUCUACGUAAAUUCCUGUUUUUAAAUACACUUGAUUUAUAAUGUGCCAAUUUCUGCUGUACAGCAAAGUGAUUCGGUUAAACACAUACAUAUAUUUUUUUAAUAUUAUUUUCCAUCAUAGUCUAUCCAAGGACACUGGAUAUUGUUCCUGGUGCUAUACAAUAGGACCCAGGCCCAUCCAAAAUUCUAAAUCGAAUCGCUUGCAUCUGCUAACCCCAUACUCCCAGUUCUUCCCACUCCUUCCCCCUCCCCCUUGGCAACCACACGUCUGUUCUCCAUGUCUGUGAGUCUGUUUCUGUUUUGUAGAUAGGUUCAUCUGUGCCAUUUUUUAGAUUCCACAUAUAAGUGAUAUCAUACGGUAUUUGUCUUUCUCUUUCUGAAUUACUUCACUUAGUAUGAGAAUCUCUAGUUGCAUCCAUGUUGUUGCAAAUAGCAUUAUUUCAUUGCUUUUUUUUAAUGGCUGAGAGGUAUUCCAUCGUGUUUAUGAACCACAUUUUCUUAAUCCAUUCAUCUGUUGUGGGACAUUUAGGUUGUUUCCAUGUCUUGGCUAUUGUGAAUAGUGCUGCUGUGGACAUAGGGGUGCAUGUGUCUGGAUCUAUGCCCAGGAGUCGAAUUGUUGGAUCUUACAAUCAUUCUGUUUCGUCCUCUGCGGAACCACUGUACGGUUUUCCAUAGCGCUUGUACCAGCUUACAUUCCCACCAGCAGUAUAGAAGGGGUCCCUUUUUUCCACACUCUCCAGCAUUUGUUAUUUGCACAGUUACUAUUAAUGGCCAUUCUGACCACUAUGGGGUGGUACCUCAUGGUAGUUUUGAUGUGCAUUUCUCUAAUAAUUAGCAAUGUUGAGCAUCCUUUCAUGUAUCUACUGGCCAUCUGUAUGUCUUCUUUGGAGAAAUGUUUAUUUAGGUCUUCUGCCUAUGAAGUAAAUGCCUAUUUAAAAGACAAAGGAGUUCCUUUUGUGGCUCAGCAAGUUAAGAACCCAACUAGUUUCCAUGAGGAUGCGGGUUUGAUCCCUGGCCUCGCUCAGUGGGUGAAAGGAUCCAGCAUUGCCAUGAGCUGUGGUGUAGGUUGCAGACACAGCUUGGAUCUGGCAUUACUGUGGCUGGCUGUGGCUAUGGCAUAGGCUGGCAGCUGCAGCUCUGAUUCAACCCCAAGCCUGAGAACUUCCAUAUGCCACAGGUGUAGCCCUUAAAAACAGAACAAAAAAUAUGAAUAGAACAGUAUCUGUCCAGGAAAAUUCAGAUUUAAAACUAGUUCUUAAGAUAUGAACUCUAAGGGAAUCAGUUCCAAAAUAUAUCCAAUUCAUUAUAUAAUAGAUAAUGGUUUUAGAGCCUUUGUAUAAAUACACCUUCAGUGUCUGAUGGUUUUCUCUUAAACGGGUAGGUUUGGGUCAAUUUCUCUUUCUGAAAACUGGUUUUAAUGAGCUGCCAAUUUUUUUCUGAUUGCAUUAAUUCCUUUUCCCCAUGGCCCUCCCACUCCCACCUUACAUCUGAGAAAUACAUUUGAGAAUUAGAAACUUAGGCAAGGCGGAAGCUCCCACUGUGGCUCAGUGGGUUAAGAAUCCGACUAGUAUCCAUGAGGAUGCAGGUUUGGUCCCUGGCCUUGCUUGGUGAGUUAAGGACCUGACACUGCCAUGAGCUGCAGUGCAGGUUGCAGAUGUGGCAGGGAUCCUGCAUUGCUGUGGCUCAGGCCAGCAGCUGCAGCUCCGAUUCAGCCCUUAGCCUGGGACCCUCCAUAUGCUGUGGGUGUGGCC
rnacentral:lncRNA from 1 species